CAUGGCCCCACGCCACGAUCAGCUGCUCUUCAGCUUCUGAAUCACCUCUCAGCCCUCUCUAUUUCAGGAGACUUUCUUGGGUCGUGAAAGCAUGAAGUCAAAAGGUAACAUUAGAGGUUGAUGAGCAAAUCAAUUCUCUUACCAAUUUCACAGAAUGGCUGUGGCAGUUGUUUGGAUGAGUAUUUAACUUCUUUUUAAGUAGAUUUUUAUUUUCUGCAGGGAGGGAGAUUUGGAUAAGACUCAGACUCCCCUGUGACUCAGUGAUCCCUUCUCCUGUCAUGCACAGAAUCCUGGGAACUGCCUAGGUUCCACAGCCCUCUGCCGUCAGAGGGCGAGGACUGCCAUGGUGGCACAGUGGGGUGGGCUGGUGGGACUGGCCAGUGGCUCAGAGAGGUGAGGAUCUGCAGAAGUGACAGACAGGCCAGCAGGGACCAUGCCUGACGCUGACCUACUGCCGCAGUCCUCAGUCUGCGUUUUAGCAGGACCCCACCUCAGGCCAUCGGUGUGCACACUCAGGUUUGAGAAGCUCUGAGUGAAAACAUUCCCACUUCUGCCAAAGAAUCCCUGAGAUCCCAGGCAGAGAAAUUCUCCGAUGGAAGCAGCCCAUCCAGAGCGAUCUCCACGUGCUCGCUGACCACCAUUCAAUCACGCUGGGGGUUUUCACUACGGAGAAUACAUAUAAUUCUCAAGCUGAACUUCAGUCUUUCCAAAAAUUCUGUUUCUCUUCACGUGCCAAGAUUUCCCUAUGGAUUAAGUUAAACGGAGAUCAGUAGAUCCUAAAAACUGGGUUUCCAUCUCGGGUCUGUUUUUCCUGGCUGUGUAAACCUAAGCAAACUCUUAUACCCUCAGACUAUGGUUUUCUUCUCUGUGGAAUGAAGAUAAUAAGAGCACCUGCUUCAGGAGGGUAUAGUAAGGAUUAAAUUCGAAAAUACAUGCAAAGUGCUGUCACAAGGGCUUCUGGUGGCCACUGAGAGGAAGAGAGGUUCUCUGCAUUCAUCUUCUCUCCAGAUGGAAUGUUCUUCUUUGUAGAAGAGAAGACUAGCACUGCUGUGCUACCCUGUUGGCACCUAUUCACUUUUCCUCACUUGAUCUCCACACCAACGUUUCGCCUGAGGAACCGAGGGUGAUAAGUAACUCCACCUUCUAAAGAAGCUGCUAAAGCAUCCAUGUAGGAUUUGCUAAGAAGUGGCCCAACACCAGUUCUAUGCCCUUGCCCCAUCACCCACCUCCAGCCUAUAUAUGAGAAGACUGGAGCUUGAUCAAGGAUGCUGGGGAGUAAAGAUUUCUUCAAAGCAACUUAUCACAGUGUCCUGUGUUUUCCCUACCCACCGACUGAGGCUUGAAGGAAAGUGUUUUCUUGUCCCUCUUCAAGCCAGAUCCAACUAAAAACCCUGGAUAUUGUACCUAAAAGACACAAAAGAAGAAUCUGGAAGGUGGAGAGAAGAGGUAGAUUGGCUAGACCUUGGGAUCCCAAGAGCAGCAUGGGGCUGUCGCUGUGAAUGGACAUAGCAGCUGGAAUGGAGGAUAACACAUCACACCUCCACUUUGAAUUUCCUGCCUUUUGUUUUCUUGAAUCAUAGCCUUGAUGUUGUUUAAAUAGUGCUCUGUAUAUUUAAUUUCCUUUUUCUCUUCACAAAGACCAAAUGAUUUUUUAAAACCAUCUCAUCUUUCAUGGUAGGUUAUAAAAGUGUUCUUGAG
ensembl:lncRNA